rnacentral:lncRNA from 1 species
CCAAUCUCAGAUAGCUAAAAAUAUGUAAAAUCACUAAUAAUAUAUAAUAUUUUACAUAUAAACCUAUUCAAUUAUAUACCUAUAGCAUCUCAUGUUCUAUAAUUUUGUUCUUUUCUUGAGCACUGAAUAGAGAAUUUACGUGAUUAUCUUUUUUUUGAGACAAGGUCUGGCUUCAUAGCCCAGGCUGGGGUGCAGGAGCGCUACCUUGGCUCACUGCAAUCCCCUCCUUCCAGGCUCAAACCAUCCUCC